rnacentral:rRNA from 1 species
GUCUAUGGACAUAUCAACCUGAAGAUGGCCAAUCUCAUCUGAUCUUGGAAGCUAAACUGGGUUGGCCUAGUUAGUACUUAAAUGGGAGAAAAUUGCAAAACUUUAAUGAGG